rnacentral:lncRNA from 1 species
CUGAUAUCCACUCAGUGUUCUAUUUUCCUGAUUGUCCCAUAAAUGUCAUUUUAUAUUUGAUUCAUUUACAUUAAGAUCCAAUCAGUUCCCAAUUACAUUCGACUUAAUGCGAUGACUCACAUGGUUUUUUAAAAAAGUCCAUAAUAGUUUCUCCUUUCUCUUUCUCUCCCUCUCUUCUCCCAGGGGCAUCUGGCUGUAGAUAAGUUCCCAACACACUUGCUCAUUGUGCCCUCACCAACAGAGCACGCCUGAAAACAUCCUUAUCAGCAGAGAGUUUACUUCUACCGUGGAUAAUUACUCUCUUGGGUAGGGCUCUGACCCACAGGCCUUUGCUUACUGUCUCUCAGGAUGACCUAAGAAGGAUACAUGAUCUUAUCCUAAUGUUGGUCACAACAACAAAAUUCUAGAGUGCUGAGCAGUUAUGAAACCAUUCAUCCCAAGAAAAACUUAGAAUUAUUAGCACAUAAUAAUGUUUACCACCACUCAGUGGAAUUGGUCCUUUGUAACGCUUAUUUAACAGCUGAGGAUAUAGCAGAAGAGUCUGUUCUGCUCGUUUUGACCAGUGGAAGUUGGCUUUGGAGUCAGGCUGUGUGAUGGAGGCAUCCACAUGCUCAACCUGGAGGGACCCUGCCUCGUCAUAUAUGAAGUAUGUUACCAGAAGACCAGACGCUGUUAAUGGGCCCACACGGCCACGAACACACCAGCCGGUGGGGAAUUUUAUAGCAUCCAUCAUGGGAUACCGGGGUCCUUAUUAAAGAAGAAAGCUUUUAUGGCAUUUUCCAGAGCACCAUAUUUUCCUGACCCAGCCUGCAAGGAAAGUGCUAAGGUGAAUGAUAUUGCACUGUUAGACCGGUCUGAGGCCACAAAUAUAGGGG